rnacentral:rRNA from 1 species
CAGCAGCCACGGGAAUACGAAGGGGGCUAGCGUUGUUCGGAAUUACUGGGCGUAAAGCGCACGUAGGCGGACAUUUAAGUCAGGGGUGAAAUCCCGCAGCUCAACUGCGGAACUGCCUUUGAUACUGGGUAUCUUGAGUAUGGAAGAGGUUAGUGGAAUUGCGAGUGUAGAGGUGAAAUUCGUAGAUAUUCGCAGGAACACCAGUGGCGAAGGCGGCUAACUGGUCCAUAACUGACGCUGAGGUGCGAAAGCGUGGGGAGCAAACAGGAUUAGAUACCCCAGUAGUCCCUGUCUCUUAUAC